rnacentral:lncRNA from 10 species
AGCUGGGACUACAGGCGCCCGUCACCACGCCCGGCUAAUUUUUUGUAUUUUUAGUAGAGACGGGGUUUCACGGUGUUAGCCAGGAUGGUCUGGAUCUCCUGACCUCGUGAUCCGCCUCGGCCUCCCAAACUGCUGGGAUUACAGGCGUGAGCCACCACCCCCGGCCGCAGAAAUAUUUUAAUGCCAUUUUAGAAGGUUGCCCAGCCAUUUGCUCUUCAAGCUUGCCAAGACAACUUUAGAAAAUACUAUGAAAAAUCUUCUAUCAGGAAGGCAGCAGAAAGGAGAAGUGGAAGGCCAAAAUGAGUGGAGAGAACAAACUAACAUAAGAAAGCUUAAAGCAGGAGAAAGACUGUAUCUGAGGAGCUAUAAAAGAGACAUCAUACCAGACUCUACUCCAGAAUGGAAAUGUCCAAUGCCUAAUCAGAAGCCAGGGAGUAGGGUGAAUGCGAUAGAUAAGAGAUCAUCAUCCCAACCUGCAGCCCUCAUUACUGCUCGUUCUAUGGAGUAGUCAUUUUUUGUUUUUGUUGUUUCUUUACUUCUCUAAGAAACUUGCUUUUGCUUAAAAAAAAAUAAAAAUAAAGGAGAUAAGAGAACAUCCAAUAAAAGAAGGCAAAUGUUGUGUGCAUAGAGAUUACUAGGUUAAGGAAAGCAGGCCAACUAGCAUUAAACCAACCCAUACCUUUGUUCAACACUUAGAAUGAAAUCUAAAUUUAUUUCUCUGGCGUUGAAUAAGCCUAUGACAUCAACCUGAACUACUCUUCUGCUCACAGCAUUCCAGACACAUUGACUAUUUCAUGCAUCUUUGUCCUUAUUGCUAUACCUGGAAUUCUA